UACGGAGGGUGCAAGCGUUAUCCGGAUUUACUGGGUUUAAAGGGUGCGCAGGCGGUUGUUUAAGUCAGAGGUGAAAGCCCCUAUGCUCAACAUAGGGAUUGCCUUUGAUACUGAACAGCUAGAGUGAAGAUGGAGUGGGUGGAAUGUGUUGUGUAGCGGUGAAAUGCAUAGAUAUAACACAGAACACCGAUCGCGAAGGUAGCUCACUAAUCUUCAACUGACGCUCAUGCACGAAAGCU
rnacentral:rRNA from 1 species